rnacentral:rRNA from 1 species
GACGAACGCUGGCGGCGUGCCUAAUACAUGCAAGUAGAACGCUGAAGGAAGGAGCUUGCUCUUUCCGGAUGAGUUGCGAACGGGUGAGUAACGCGUAGGUAACCUGCCUGGUAGCGGGGGAUAACUAUUGGAAACGAUAGCUAAUACCGCAUAACAGUAGAUGUUGCAUGAUAUCUACUUAAAAGGUGCAAUUGCACCACUACCAGAUGGACCUGCGUUGUAUUAGCUAGUUGGUGAGGUAACGGCUCACCAAGGCGACGAUACAUAGCCGACCUGAGAGGGUGAUCGGCCACACUGGGACUGAGACACGGCCCAGACUCCUACGGGAGGCAGCAGUAGGGAAUCUUCGGCAAUGGACGGAAGUCUGACCGAGCAACGCCGCGUGAGUGAAGAAGGUUUUCGGAUCGUAAAGCUCGGUUGUAAGAGAAGAACGAGUGUGAGAGUGGAAAGUUCACACUGUGACGGUAUCUUACCAGAAAGGGACGGCUAACUACGUG